rnacentral:rRNA from 1 species
CGGCGAACGGGUGCGUAACACGUGAGCAAUCUGCCGUACUCUGGGGGAUAGCCGGCCCAACGGCCGGGUAAUACCGCAUACGCUUGUCGGGUGGCAUCGCCUGGCAAGGAAACCUCCGGGGGAGUACGAGGAGCUCGCGGCCUAUCAGCUAGUUGGUGGGGUAACGGCCUACCAAGGCAUUGACGGGUAGCUGGUCUGAGAGGAUGGCCAGCCACAUUGGGACUGAGAUACGGCCCAUACUCCUACGGGAGGCAUCAGUGGGGAAUAUUG